rnacentral:sRNA from 1 species
UUUAUAGCGCUGAGACAUGUAGGUAACACCUGAAGGUGUACAACAGCUGUGUGCAGUGACAGGAUAUGCUGUCCAUCACAACAAACAGAUGUGGAGCUGAGAGGCCUGAUCCUAACAAAACAGAUCAGGGGAACAAAAGUGAAGAUGAAGCGCUCCAAAGCUGUGGUCACUAAAUAAGACAUGGAAUCAGUUUACUGUCCAUUCAGGUAAUCACCAGGUAAUAAUAGCUACAGGUGAACAGGUCUCAGCCUCUCCAACAUCAAAGUCAGUCCAGGCAUCAGGUGAAUAGAAAGGGCCCAGAGUGACUUCACCCCGGACAAAGGGCCCCGGACCCCUGGCCGCGCUCCAUCAGACCAGGGUGAUUACAGUUUUAAAGAGACAGAACCAGGGCGGUGGGAGGAUAAUUGAUUUUAACUGGACAUCAAGGAGUUUAAGGAUUACCCCUGUCAUCUCCUCACAAUCAACGGUUUAAAAGUUUAGCUCAGUUAAAUAUCAUUAUUCUACCACAAAAAUCUGAUUAACUAGCAUUGGCCACGGGAUUCCAGCCGAGGUGAGCUGUUUCUAUUAUUGAGGAUGUGAAGAUCUCAUUGACUGUGUCCACUCGCGGCAGAAAAGCAGUCUGUUGUUACGCCGGCCAUUAGUCACCAUUCCAAAACCAACUCUGACAGUCCUUAAACCUACCGCAGAAUUCCGCAGGUCCAAACUCUACCGAACUGAAAUUAAUUACCACGGUUUUAAAACACUGAUGUGAAUUUAAAAACAGUGAAACUCCUUUUAUCUGUCUGAUAUCAAGUGUAGACAGAGGCAGGCGAAUAAACAAUAUAGGCUCUUGGUUUCAAUUUAGACUGAUUAAAAAGCUAUUCUU